AGUGAACGCUGGCGGUAGGCCUAACACAUGCAAGUCGAACGGCAGCACAGUAAGAGCUUGCUCUUACGGGUGGCGAGUGGCGGACGGGUGAGGAAUACAUCGGAAUCUACUUUUUCGUGGGGGAUAACGUAGGGAAACUUACGCUAAUACCGCAUACGACCUACGGGUGAAAGCAGGGGAUCUUCGGACCUUGCGCGUUUGAAUGAGCCGAUGUCGGGUUAGCUAGUUGGCGGGGUAAAGGCCCACCAAGGCGACGAUCCGUAGCUGGUCUGAGAGGAUGAUCAGCCACACUGGAACUGAGACACGGUCCAGACUCCUACGGGAGGCAGCAGUGGGGAAUAUUGGACAAUGGGCGCAAGCCUGAUCCAGCCAUACCGCGUGGGUGAAGAAGGCCUUCGGGUUGUAAAGCCCUUUUGUUGGGAAAGAAAAGCAGCAGGUUAAUACCCCGCUGUUCUGACGGUACCCAAAGAAUAAGCACCGGCUAACUUCGUG
rnacentral:rRNA from 1 species